AAAGCGGUAAAGUACACUAACUAAAAAAAUAAGCGGCAAAUAAAAAUAUAAGCAGCAAAUUAUAUGUUAACUUUUCCCCAAUUUGUUUUCAUUCACUCUUCCCUCCCAAUAAAAAAAAAAUAGAAAACCGUAAAUCAUUAAUUCCUCACUUCUGUCAUCUUCCCAGUUGCCCUUACAGUUUUCUCUUUCUCUCUCUCAUCCUUCUCUGUUUUCUCUCACUCAUCUUUUUAGUCACUGUCACUUUUGGGUUGUGUAUGUAAUAUCUCUCAUUGUUUCAUUGUUUUUUCAUUUGGGAAAUGUAAGGGUUCUAAUUUAUUCAUCCUUACCGAAUCACACCGAGUGGUUACAAAGAUACAAACUGCACUACAACCCGAUUGAAUCCUAGAAAAUCUCUCACUGAUUGACUUUCACACUAAUCAGUCAUCACAGAUCGUGCCGUCCGCCGCCGUCGAUCCGCAGAGAAUCAGUGCCGCCGAUGGUUCAUCCUCAAGCAAAGGGAAGCUCCUCUGGUUUGCUUCUAUGCUACUAAUUCUAGUUCAUCGCUUUGGAACCAUUCGAGUUGGCAAAUCUGAGGUCAAAUUUUGGAUUCUUUGAGAACUUUUUUACUGUGAAAGAUUGAUAAUCUUGCAAAAGGUGAUAAGUGCCAAAUAACAAUGAUAUCAACUUGGGCAACUGAAUUAUACUUGGACAAGGCAAAUCGUCUACUCUUGGAAGAUGACACUGCUUUGGAUAACCAUAGUUCAGAACCGAUCAAUAAUAAAAGAGUUCUGUGCUUUUCUAAGUGACUGCAAGGAUGUGUUGGAUGAGGCAACUAUAAUGAAACUUUUAGAGAGGUAACAAUUGACAGGAUCCUUUGUAAGUUAAUCACAUUUUUCGUAAAAGUAUCUGAUAUCGCCUAAGCGGUCGCAGUAAUAAUCGGGCUAUGUCGUAUCCACAGAGAGGUAAAAUACAAAAUUAAAAGAAAGAUUAGUAAAUUAAAAAUAAUAAACUUUGGAAAGAUGUAAAUUUGAAAAAGAAUAUAAACAUUAAAUGAAUAAAAUUGAGGAAUUAGAAUAAAAAAGAAAGUAUGGAAGGCAUAAGUUUCAUUCAUGCAAACAUAUAUAUAUUUUAAUAAAAUUGAUUCAUUCUACUCAACUAUAAUUCUACACCAUUAAUUAUAGUUGAAAAAUAUAUAUAAUAAAGCUCACCUUAAAAUAUGUUCUUUAAUUAAAUUAUACUAACUUCUAAUUUUAAAAACCUAUCAUAUUAUAUACCUUAGAACGACAAAAUACCAAUGGCAGAAUGCAGUAAAAAUCAUAUAAUAUAACAAAUAUCUUAAAUUAAAUUAAAAGCCUAAAUUACAUAAGAAGAGCAUGACUAGACUUAUGUAAAAGACACUAAUAACUUUAGAAUAAAAAUUUAAGAAAAUAAAUUUAAUUGUAACAAAUAUAUAGAAAUGAAUAACAAAAUAAAGAAUCAAUAUAUUAAAAAUAUAAUGUUAAACAUAAACUUCACUUUAGCCUUUCCACAAGAAAAUUUAGCCUAAAAUAGACAUUGUUUUCACUCACAAAAAUGUAAAAGAAAAAUAUGAAAAAUAAGUGUUUUUCUCUCCAAUACUCUCUAUACUCUCCUUACACAAUCUGAUGAAAUUUUACCUCAUUUGGUACUCUAUUUAUAGUGUAAAUAGGACCUAAAAACAUGCAAAACCGUGUACAAAAUAGUGGGAAAGUGGCAUAAAAAGCUGGUGGAAGUGGGGAAAAUGUGUUGAGCCGUGGGAGACAGGGAUUUAUUGUGGCAGGCGGCUGGUCGGGUUCAUGGGGAGCAGGGACUGACGAGAGGGACGCGUGGCAGGCUAUGGUUCGUUCAGCAGCUGCCUCGUGUCAGACGGAUGGGACACGUGUCAGUCGUGCAGGUGUGGCGUCAGGUGGCAGGGGGUGCAGCUGGCGGCUCGGCUGGCGUGCGGCUCGGCUUGGAGGCUCGAGUGGAUGAAUGGCGAGCUGCCAUGUGGCAGCGUAGAGGGAGCAGUUGAAACUUGGGUUUGGGCUCCAUUUUGGGCAUAUUUCUCCUUCAAAAAUACCAUUUUCUUUAUGAUUUCUUCAAUUUUAAUUCUUUUUUUCUCCUUUUUUUUUUUUUGUGUCAAAAAUAUAUUUUAUUUCCGGAAAAUUAAACACAAAUUAAAUUAAAAUUAAUAUUUUCAAAUAUAAAAUAUAUGACAAUAAAUCCGUGAAAAUAUUAAUUAAAACUUAAUUAAUUUUACACUUUAAGAUUAUUAAAAUGAUAUUUUUGAGCACUAAUCAGUAUCAAAGCAAUAGCUAAUUCUUUUCUGUUUUAGUUUAGAUGGAAGUUUUGGUUAGUAUUUUAGUCGCUUUUAUCUGUGGAUGCUUACCUCUAACAUGACAGGUGUUACGGCAGUAUGUGUCACUUUUUUUAAACAUUAAUAAUAGCUGGCAUAAGCAGAGACUGUAAUUAACUUCUUCUUUUUUUAAUUAUUUUUUGCAUAAUCACGUGAUCGUUUUUAUGUUCUUAUUUAGAUGAAAGAACACUAGAUUUAAUUAUUUAGCAAUAUGUUGCAGUUAUGGCCGGGUUGAAGAGUUGGUGUUUUUUGCCCGUUUAAAGGAGUAGUAUGAAAUUGUAAUUCAUCAUUACAUACAAGUGCUUCAUCAUUCCUUUCUGUUAUGCAUUUCAUUUUUGUGAUUUUUGUCAUCAUAAAUCGCAUUUACUAAUGUUUUAUACUAGUUCUGUACUUUAAUCCAUAAAUACAUAGACACACUUAGUAUUGACAUCUUCCUCCUUUAUUUCUUUUUUUUCUCUUCCAAGUAAAUUUAUCAUCACUUGAAAUCUAUAAAAUAUGUUUAUGUUCACUUUACGGCUGAGAUAAACAUGAUUAUGUUUUUUUUUCUUUUCCGUAUAGGACUUACUACUUGUUAAACUUAAAAACUAUUAGAACUAUCGUUCUUUUCUAUUGAUCUUUUCAGUUCAGUUCUAUAUCCUAGGCCAAUUUUUUUAAGUUGACAAGUAUUUAAUUUUAUUUUCCCGUAUGGAUUCUAUCAUUAGCAAGGAGAAGCAAAGAAAGCAUUGGAAGUGCUUCAGAAACCAUAUGUUUCUUUAGAUCUUCAGGUAUAGAUAUCCAAGAAUUUCAAUUAAAAUUGAUUUUUACCCCAGAUUGUUUAAUUCGCUAAAAUAUUUGCAACACUUGAUUAGAAACAACCAAAUAUAUUAAUAAAGGACCCUAAAUAUAAAUUACUUAUAGAACUAGUUCUCGGAGUAAGCCUGAAACAAAAAGAAAGAGCAGCCCAACAAUUGGAAACACCCCUAUGAACAAAAUUCAUCCAACUAGAAAUAUUGCAGUUUAGUGUUGAAGAUCAACCAAAGUCACAAUUUUCACAGCUCUGAAGUAGGAAACUUAGCUGUUUUAAGUUUUCUGAUGCUAUAUUUGCUGUUCUGAGUUUACUUUGAUGGAUUUUAUGUUUUGAUUUAAGGAUUUGCUUUGAACAUUUGGUUGUGGACCUUUAAUUUUGAAGUAAUCUUUAAACAAUGUACUGAAUUUGCUAUUUUGACUUUAUUUGAAUUCGCCACUUGGUUUAGAAUUUGAUUAACCUUUCUGCUUCCUUCAACCCCAUUUUAAAAAAGACCUUAUUGAAAGUCAGGCAAAAAAAAAAAAAAAAAAGAAAGAAAAUGAGAUAAUGAUUGAGACAAAAUCUAAAAAGAAAAUCUAAAUCAUUGAUAACUUAUAAAAAGAAAUUAAAAAAACUUAAUCAUUACUCAAAGGAAUAUCUGGUUACAUAUGUAGCAUAUUUUGUGUUGGGCAGCUGUAGAAUAUUUUGUGCUGAAAGUAGUAACUUUUCAAUAUGUUGAAUAUUUAAGAUUACUUGAAUACUUAAAGAACAUUUUGUUGUUGAUGACAGUGUUGAAUGUUUUAAACUAAUUUGUGGAUUGUUAAUACAAUGUUGAAUGUUUUUACUUUU